CCUACGGGUGGCAGCAGUGGGGAAUAUUGCACAAUGGGGGAAACCCUGAUGCAGCGACGCCGCGUGAGUGAAGAAGUAAUUCGUUACGUAAAGCUCUAUCAGCAGGUAAGAAAUACUGACCUUACGGUCAGCAGACGGUACCUGAGUAAGAAGCCCCGGCUAACUACGUGCCAGCAGCCGCGGUAAUACGGAGGGGGCAAGCGUUAUCCGGAUUUACUGGGUGUAAAGGGAGCGUAGACGGCAGUGCAAGUCUGGAGUGAAAGGCGGGGGCUCAACCCCCGGACUGCGCUGGAAACUGUACGGCUUGAGUGCAGGAGAGGUAAGUGGAAUUCCUAGUGUAGCGGUGAAAUGCGUAGAUAUUAGGAGGAACACCAGUGGCGAAGGCGGCUUACUGGACUGUAACUGACGUUGAGGCUCGAAAGCGUGGGGAGCAAACAGGAUUAGAUACCCUUGUAGUC
rnacentral:rRNA from 1 species